rnacentral:rRNA from 1 species
CCUACGGGUGGCUGCAGUGGGGAAUAUUGCACAAUGGGGGAAACCCUGAUGCAGCAACGCCGCGUGAGUGAAGAAGUAUUUCGGUAUGUAAAGCUCUAUCAGCAGGGAAGAAGAAAGACGGUACCUGACUAAGAAGCCCCGGCUAACUACGUGCCAGCAGCCGCGGUAAUACGUAGGGGGCAAGCGUUAUCCGGAUUUACUGGGUGUAAAGGGAGCGUAGACGGCUGUGCAAGUCUGAAGUGAAAGCCCGUGGCUCAACCGCGGAACUGCUUUGGAAACUGUAUAGCUUGAGUACUGGAGAGGCAGGCGGAAUUCCUAGUGUAGCGGUGAAAUGCGUAGAUAUUAGGAGGAACACCAGUGGCGUAAGCGCUUUACUGGGCCGUAAUUGACGCUGAGGAACGAAAGCCAGGGUAGCAAAUGGGAUUAGAUACCCUAGUAGUC